rnacentral:rRNA from 2 species
CGUUGAGCUAACCGGUACUAAUGAACCGUGAGGCUUAACCUUACAACGCCGAAGGUGUUU